rnacentral:rRNA from 1 species
AGGGUUUGAUUAUGGCUCAGGACGAACGCUGGCGGCGUGCCUAACACAUGCAAGUCGAACGGACGAUGCCCCUUCGGGGACAAAGUUAGUGGCGAACGGGUGAGUAACGCGUGAGGAACCUGCCUUUCAGAGGGGGACAACAGUUGGAAACGACUGCUAAUACCGCAUAAUGUACACGGACCGCAUGAUCUGUGUACCAAAGAUUUAUCGCUGAAAGAUGGCCUCGCGUCUGAUUAGAUAGUUGGUGAGGUAACGGCCCACCAAGUCUGCGAUCAGUAGCCGGACUGAGAGGUUGAACGGCCACAUUGGGACUGAGAUACGGCCCAG